ACGCUCGACACCUACGGGAGCAGCAGUGGGGAAUAUUGCACAAUGGGGGAAACCCUGAUGCAGCGACGCCGCGUGACUGAAGAAGUAUUUCGGUAUGUAAAGGUCUAUCAGCAGGGAAGAAAGAAGACGGUACCUGACUAAGAAGCCCCGGCUAACUACGUGCCAGCAGCCGCGGUAAUCUGAGCGGGCUGGCAAGGC
rnacentral:rRNA from 1 species